GAAUCUCACACGGUCGUGAAAUUCUAGCCACUUUUUUGCCUAACGCCAAUCUUCGUCAUCGAGAAAAAUGAUUUGAGGUGUUUAAUUUAGCUUCAAGAUCGUGGACGGAUGCCUUGGUCAAAGUUAAAGAGCAUUGUUGGAGGCUGUUUAAAGAAGAAGCAGAAGCACCACUUAGGUGAAGCAUUUGUAGAUCUGGGCAUGGUAAUUAAGUAAGGUGAGCAUUAGCUAAAUAAUUAAUAAUUAUUAAAUAUUCUCUACUUAUAUGUGAAUUUAUUAAGAAAUUAAUUUGAUUCUUUUUGUUGAAUU
rnacentral:lncRNA from 1 species